rnacentral:rRNA from 1 species
AUGGCCGCCUCUAUCGCCGCCGCCGCCGCCGCCGCGUCCAUCUCCCACCUCCUCCCCGCGCCGAAACCCAAGCCCAGAACCCCACCCCGCCUCUCCCUCCUCCCCCGCAGGCGCUCCCGCGCCGCCGGUGCCAUCUCCGCGUCGGCGUCCGCGGCCUCCGACUUCCUCGCCCCCGUCCCGUCCCUCAAGUCCCGCCUCGCCGCGGGCGACACCCUCUAUGGCCUCUUCCUCCUCUCCUUCUCCCCCACGCUCGCCGAGAUCGCCGCGCUCGCCGGCUACGACUACGUGGUCGUCGACAUGGAGCACGGGCCGGGCGGCAUCACGGAGGCCCUCGCCUGCCUCCGCGCCCUCGACGCCGCCCGCACCCCCGCCGUCCUCCGCCUCCCGGAGGCCUGCCCCGUCUGGGCGAAGAAGGCGCUCGACCUCGGCCCCGCGGGCCUCAUGCUUCCCGCCGUCGAGUCCCCGGCCGCUGCCGCGGAGGCUGUAUCCCACUGCCGCUACCCGCCCCGCGGCGUCCGUGGCGCUGCCUACCCAAUCGUCCGCGCAUCCGCCUACGGCCUCGACGACUCCUACCUCUCCCGCUGCGAGGACGACACCCUCAUCAUCUGCCAGGUCGAGACCGCCGCCGGCGUUGCGGAGAUCGACGCCAUCGCCGCCGUCGAAGGGGUCGACGUCGUCCAGAUGGGCCCGCUCGACCUGUCGGCGAGCAUGGGGUACCUGUGGGAUCCAGGGAACAGGAAGGUGCGAGCGGCGCUGAGGGAGGCUGAGAGGAAGGUGUUGGAGGCCAGGAAGAAGAAGGACGCUGCUCCGAAAACCAAUGCGGCUUACUUGGGUGGGUUUGCGAUGCCCAAUGACCCAGCUGAGCAGCUCAAGCAUAGGGGAUACCAUAUGGUUGCAGGUGCAGUGGACAUUGGGUUGUUCCGGAAGGCGGCAUUGGAGGAUGUCAAGCGGUUCAAGGAUGCGUCAAUGGAGAUUGGUGAAGCAGAGGGCGAGGAGGAGGAUGAGAAGGAAGAUGGAUACUGGAGUGAAUGA